UACGUAGGGGGCAAGCGUUGUCCGGAAUCACUGGGCGUAAAGCGCGCGCAGGCGGUCUCUCACGUCCGGGGUGAAAGCCCAGAGCUCAACUCUGGGAUUGCCUUGGAUACGGGGAGACUUGAGGAUCGGAGAGGCAAGGGGGAAUUCCACGUGUAGCGGUGAAAUGCGUAGAGAUGUGGAGGAACACCUGUGGCGAAGGCGCCUUGCUGGCCGAUUUCUGACGCUGAGGCGCGAAAGCGUGGGGAGCAAACAGG
rnacentral:rRNA from 1 species